rnacentral:rRNA from 1 species
UAAUACAUGCAAGUCGAACGAGUUCUCGUUGAUGAUCGGUGCUUGCACCGAGAUUCAACAUGGAACGAGUGGCGGACGGGUGAGUAACACGUGGGUAACCUGCCCUUAAGUGGGGGAUAACAUUUGGAAACAGAUGCUAAUACCGCAUAGAUCCAAGAACCGCAUGGUUCUUGGCUGAAAGAUGGCGUAAGCUAUCGCUUUUGGAUGGACCCGCGGCGUAUUAGCUAGUUGGUGAGGUAAUGGCUCACCAAGGCGAUGAUACGUAGCCGAACUGAGAGGUUGAUCGGCCACAUUGGGACUGAGACACGGCCCAAACUCCUACGGGAGGCAGCAGUAGGGAAUCUUCCACAAUGGACGCAAGUCUGAUGGAGCAACGCCGCGUGAGUGAAGAAGGCUUUCGGGUCGUAAAACUCUGUUGUUGGAGAAGAAUGGUCGGCAGAGUAACUGUUGUCGGCGUGACGGUAUCCAACCAGAAAGCCACGGCUAACUACGUGCCAGCAGCCGCGGUAAUACGUAGGUGGCAAGCGUUAUCCGGAUUUAUUGGGCGUAAAGCGAGCGCAGGCGGUUUUUUAAGUCUGAUGUGAAAGCCCUCGGCUUAACCGAGGAAGCGCAUCGGAAACUGGGAAACUUGAGUGCAGAAGAGGACAGUGGAACUCCAUGUGUAGCGGUGAAAUGCGUAGAUAUAUGGAAGAACACCAGUGGCGAAGGCGGCUGUCUGGUCUGUAACUGACGCUG